CAAGGGUGCGUAAACGCGUAAGUAACUUGCCCCAAGGUAAGGAAUAACGUCGAGAAAUCGGCGCUAAUACCUCAUAAUGCAGCGGAUCCGCAUGGAUAUGUUGUUAAAGGUUUACCGCCUUGGGAUAGGCUUGCGUCUGAUUAGCUAGUUGGUGUGGUAAUGGCACACCAAGGCUACGAUCAGUAACUGGUCUGAGAGGAUGAUCAGUCACACUGGAACUGAGACACGGUCCAGACUCCUACGGGAGGCAGCAGUGAGGAAUAUUGGGCAAUGCACGAAAGUGUGACCCAGCAACGCCGCGUGGAGGAUGAAGGUAUUCUAUAUCGUAAACUCCUGUGAGAGCAGACGAAAGACAGAUUAUUAAUUUGGAUGACUGUAUGCUCAGAGGAAGCCCCGGCUAACUACGUG
rnacentral:rRNA from 1 species